UUGUUUUGUAAUUACCAAGUCACUUGCAGAGUUUAUUGCCUAAUGGAAUAUCUAAUACGCAAGGCAUGAAACCCCAAGACUUGAUGACCCUGGCUUCUUUAGGUCUUGGCUCGGGUACAGCCGGUGCUGCACCAAGGGAUAUAA
rnacentral:sRNA from 1 species